rnacentral:rRNA from 1 species
AUUGAACGCUGGCGGCAGGCCUAACACAUGCAAGUCGAACGGUAACAGGAAGCAGCUUGCUGCUUUGCUGACGAGUGGCGGACGGGUGAGUAAUGUCUGGGAAACUGCCCGAUGGAGGGGGAUAACUACUGGAAACGGUAGCUAAUACCGCAUAACGUCGCAAGACCAAAGAGGGGGACCUUAGGGCCUCUUGCCAUCGGAUGUGCCCAGAUGGGAUUAGCUAGUAGGUGGGGUAACGGCUCACCUAGGCGACGAUCCCUAGCUGGUCUGAGAGGAUGACCAGCCACACUGGAACUGAGACACGGUCCAGACUCCUACGGGAGGCAGCAGUGGGGAAUAUUGCACAAUGGGCGCAAGCCUGAUGCAGCCAUGCCGCGUGUAUAAAGAAGGCCUUCGGGUUGUAAAGUACUUUCAGCGGGGAGGAAGGGAGUAAAGUUAAUACCUUUGCUCAUUGACGUUACCCGCAGAAGAAGCACCGGCUAACUCCGUG